rnacentral:rRNA from 2 species
ACUUAAAUUGAAGAGUUUGAUCAUGGCUCAGAUUGAACGCUGGCGGCAGGCCUAACACAUGCAAGUCGAACGGUAGCACAGAGAGCUUGCUCUCGGGUGACGAGUGGCGGACGGGU